CGGAGAGUGGCGCAGUCUGGUAGCGCACACGUCUGGGGGGCGUGUGGUCGCAGGUUCAAAUCCUGUCUCUCCGACCA
rnacentral:tRNA from 1 species